rnacentral:rRNA from 1 species
UUGAAAGGGAAACGAUUGAAGUCAGUCGUGUCCUUGGGGUUCAGCCAGUUCUGCUGGUGUAUUCCCCUUGGACGGGUCAACAUCAGUUUGGACCGGCGGAAAAUGGCGGGAGGAAUGUAGCAGCUCCGGUUGUGUUAUAGCCUCUUGUCGUAUACGUUGGUCUGGACUGAGGAAUGCAGCUCGCCUUUAUGGCCGGGGUUCGCCCACGUUCGUUAAGGAUGUUGACGUAAAUCGAAUU